CUGUGUGAUGAAAAACAGGAGAUCCAGCACCAGACUGACCCGAGAAAGAUGUGGUAAAAGAUCGCCCAUUAUUGUCUGGGA
rfam:Morus notabilis contig15855, whole genome shotgun sequence.